rnacentral:rRNA from 1 species
UACAGAGGUCCCGAGCGUUGUUCGGAUUCACUGGGCGUAAAGGGUGCGCAGGUGGGUUGGCAAGUUUGAUGUGAAAGCCCCGGGCUUGACCCGGGAAUGGCAUUGAAUACUGCUGAUCUGGAGGAUUGGAGGGGGGACUGGAAUUCUUGGUGUAGCAGUGAAAUGCGUAGAUAUCAAGAGGAACACCAGUGGCGAAGGCGAGUCCCUGGACAAUACCUGACACUGAGGCACGAAAGCCAAGGGAGCAAACAGG